CAACAAAUUUAGCCUCCACUUUGCUCUCCACCAGGCUGCCAAGCAUAUGAGCAAGACCUUCAGCAAGGGCAUCCUUCGGAGUGCUGCCUUAUCAUGUACGCAGCCGUCUGCCAACAGCCUGCCAGCAGUCUCCAGGGUGGCAGCUCUGCUUCUGGGUCAUCUGGCUUUCCGGGAUGCCAGUUUCAUCCACAAUCAAGACAUGGCA